rnacentral:rRNA from 1 species
GACGAACGCUGGCGGCAGGCUUAACACAUGCAAGUCGAACGCCCCGCAAGGGGAGUGGCAGACGGGUGAGUAACACGUGGGAACGUACCCUUUGGUUCGGAAUAACUUGGGGAAACUCAAGCUAAUACCGGAUAAGCCCUUACGGGGAAAGGUUUACUGCCGAAGGAUCGGCCCGCGUCUGAUUCGCUAGUUGGUGAGGUAACGGCUCACCAAGGCGACGAUCAGUAGCUGGUCUGAGAGGAUGAUCAGCCACACUGGGACUGAGACACGGCCCAGACUCCUACGGGAGGCAGCAGUGGGGAAUAUUGGACAAUGGGGGCAACCCUGAUCCAGCCAUGCCGCGUGAGUGAUGAAGGCCUUAGGGUUGUAAAGCUCUUUUACCCGGGACGAUAAUGACUGUACCGGGAGAAUAAGCCCCGGCUAACUUCGUGCCAGCCGCCGCUGUAA